CUACCGUGGCUAUGACGGGUAACGGGGAAUUAGGGUUCGAUUCCGGAGAGGGAGCCUGAGAAACGGCUACCACAUCUAAGGAAGGCAGCAGGCGCGCAAAUUACCCAAUCCUAAUACAGGGAGGUAGUGACAAGAAAUAACAAUACAGAACCUUACGGUUUUGUAAUUGGAAUGAGUUAAGUAUAAACCCCUUAACAAGUAUCAAUUGGAGGGCAAGUCUGGUGCCAGCAGCCGCGGUAAUUCCAGCUCCAAUAGCGUAUAUUAAAGUUGUUGCAGUUAAAAAGCUCGUAGUUAAUCUUCUGUUAAUUUUUAUAUAUAAUAUCACGAUAUUUAUAUAAUAUUAACAUAAUUCAUAUUACUUUUUAGUAUAUGAAACUUUACUUUGAGAAAAUUAGAGUGCUUAAAGCAGGCUAUUGCCUUGAAUACUCCAGCAUGGAAUAAUAUUAAGGAUUUUUAUUCUUCUUAUUGGUUCUAGAAUAAAAAUGA
rnacentral:rRNA from 1 species